rnacentral:rRNA from 1 species
GUCUGAUUAGCUAGUUGGUGGGGUAAAGGCUUACCAAGGCGACCAUCAGUAGCUGGUCUGAGAGGAUGAUCAGCCACACUGGGACUGAAACACGGCCCAAACUCCUACGGGAGGCAGCAGUGGGGAAUUUUCCGCAAUGGGCGAAAGCCUGACGGAGCAACGCCGCGUGAGGGAGGAAGGGUCUUGGGUUGUAAACCUCUUUUUUCAAGGAAGAUAAUGACGGUACUUGAUGAAUCAUCAUCCGCUAACUCCGUGCCAGCAGCCGCGGUAAUACGNAGGAUGCAAGCGUUAUCCGGAAUAAUUGGGCGUAAAGCGUUCGUAGGUGGUUAUUUAAAUCUGCUGUUAAAACCCGUAGCUCAACUACGUAUAAGCGGUGGAAACUACCUGACUAGAGUGCGUUCGGGGCAGAGGGAAUUCCUGGUGUGGCGGUGAAAUGGGGAGAUAUCANGAAAAACACCGGUGGCGAAAGCGCUCUGCUAUGCCGCAACUGACACUGAGGGAG